rnacentral:rRNA from 1 species
GGUCAAGUGAAGAAGCGCAUACGGUGGAUGCCUUGGCAGUCAGAGGCGAUGAAAGACGUGGUAGCCUGCGAUAAGCUUCGGGGAGUCGGCAAACAGACUUUGAUCCGGAGAUCUCUGAAUGGGGGAACCCACUCAGCAUAAGCUGAGUAUCUUGUACUGAAUACAUAGGUGCAAGAGGCGAACCAGGGGAACUGAAACAUCUAAGUACCCUGAGGAAAAGAAAUCAACCGAGAUUCCCUUAGUAGUGGCGAGCGAACGGGGACUAGCCCUUAAGUGGCUUUGAGAUUAGCGGAACGCUCUGGAAAGUGCGGCCAUAGUGGGUGAUAGCCCUGUACGCGAAAAUCUCUUAGUCAUGAAAUCGAGUAGGACGGAGCACGAGAAACUUUGUCUGAAUAUGGGGGGACCAUCCUCCAAGGCUAAAUACUACUGACUGACCGAUAGUGAACCAGUACCGUGAGGGAAAGGCGAAAAGAACCCCGGAGAGGGGAGUGAAAUAGAUCCUGAAACCGUAUGCGUACAAGCAGUGGGAGCCUACUUGUUAGGUGACUGCGUACCUUUUGUAUAAUGGGUCAGCGACUUAUAUUCAGUGGCGAGCUUAACCGAAUAGGGGAGGCGUAGCGAAAGCGAGUCUUAAUAGGGCGUUUAGUCGCUGGGUAUAGACCCGAAACCGGGCGAUCUAUCCAUGGGCAGGUUGAAGGUUAGGUAACACUGACUGGAGGACCGAACCGACUACCGUUGAAAAGUUAGCGGAUGACCUGUGGAUCGGAGUGAAAGGCUAAUCAAGCUCGGAGAUAGCUGGUUCUCCUCGAAAGCUAUUUAGGUAGCGCCUCAUGUAUCACUGUAGGGGGUAGAGCACUGUUUCGGCUAGGGGGUCAUCCCGACUUACCAAACCGAUGCAAACUCCGAAUACCUACAAGUGCCGAGCAUGGGAGACACACGGCGGGUGCUAACGUCCGUCGUGAAAAGGGAAACAACCCAGACCGUCAGCUAAGGUCCCAAAGUUAUGGUUAAGUGGGAAACGAUGUGGGAAGGCUUAGACAGCUAGGAGGUUGGCUUAGAAGCAGCCACCCUUUAAAGAAAGCGUAAUAGCUCACUAGUCGAGUCGGCCUGCGCGGAAGAUGUAACGGGGCUCAAACCAUACACCGAAGCUACGGGUAUCACUUAGGUGAUGCGGUAGAGGAGCGUUCUGUAAGCCUGUGAAGGUGAGUUGAGAAGCUUGCUGGAGGUAUCAGAAGUGCGAAUGCUGACAUGAGUAACGACAAUGGGAGUGAAAAACUCCCACGCCGAAAGACCAAGGUUUCCUGCGCAACGUUAAUCGACGCAGGGUUAGUCGGUCCCUAAGGCGAGGCUGAAAAGCGUAGUCGAUGGAAAACAGGUUAAUAUUCCUGUACUUCUGGUUAUUGCGAUGGAGGGACGGAGAAGGCUAGGCCAGCUUGGCGUUGGUUGUCCAAGUUUAAGGUGGUAGGCUGAGAUCUUAGGUAAAUCCGGGAUCUUAAGGCCGAGAGCUGAUGACGAGUUGCCAUUAGGCGACGAAGUGGUUGAUGCCAUGCUUCCAAGAAAAGCUUCUAAGCUUCAGAUAACCAGGAACCGUACCCCAAACCGACACAGGUGGUUGGGUAGAGAAUACCAAGGCGCUUGAGAGAACUCGGGUGAAGGAACUAGGCAAAAUGGCACCGUAACUUCGGGAGAAGGUGCGCCGGUGAGGGUGAAGGACUUGCUCCGUAAGCCCAUGCCGGUCGAAGAUACCAGGCCGCUGCGACUGUUUAUUAAAAACACAGCACUCUGCAAACACGAAAGUGGACGUAUAGGGUGUGACGCCUGCCCGGUGCCGGAAGGUUAAUUGAUGGGGUUAGCUAACGCGAAGCUCUUGAUCGAAGCCCCGGUAAACGGCGGCCGUAACUAUAACGGUCCUAAGGUAGCGAAAUUCCUUGUCGGGUAAGUUCCGACCUGCACGAAUGGCGUAACGAUGGCGGCGCUGUCUCCACCCGAGACUCAGUGAAAUUGAAAUCGCUGUGAAGAUGCAGUGUAUCCGCGGCUAGACGGAAAGACCCCGUGAACCUUUACUAUAGCUUUGCACUGGACUUUGAAUUUGCUUGUGUAGGAUAGGUGGGAGGCUUUGAAGCGUGGACGCCAGUUCGCGUGGAGCCAUCCUUGAAAUACCACCCUGGCAACUUUGAGGUUCUAACUCAGGUCCGUUAUCCGGAUCGAGGACAGUGUAUGGUGGGUAGUUUGACUGGGGCGGUCUCCUCCUAAAGAGUAACGGAGGAGUACGAAGGUGCGCUCAGACCGGUCGGAAAUCGGUCGUAGAGUAUAAAGGCAAAAGCGCGCUUGACUGCGAGACAGACACGUCGAGCAGGUACGAAAGUAGGUCUUAGUGAUCCGGUGGUUCUGUAUGGAAGGGCCAUCGCUCAACGGAUAAAAGGUACUCCGGGGAUAACAGGCUGAUACCGCCCAAGAGUUCAUAUCGACGGCGGUGUUUGGCACCUCGAUGUCGGCUCAUCACAUCCUGGGGCUGAAGCCGGUCCCUAGGGUAUGGCUGUUCGCCAUUUAAAGUGGUACGCGAGCUGGGUUUAGAACGUCGUGAGACAGUUCGGUCCCUAUCUGCCGUGGACGUUUGAGAUUUGAGAGGGGCUGCUCCUAGUACGAGAGGACCGGAGUGGACGAACCUCUGGUGUUCCGGUUGUCACGCCAGUGGCAUUGCCGGGUAGCUAUGUUCGGAAGAGAUAACCGCUGAAAGCAUCUAAGCGGGAAACUUGCCUCAAGAUGAGAUCUCACUGGAGCCUUGAGCUCCCUGAAGGGCCGUCGAAGACUACGACGUUGAUAGGUUGGGUGUGUAAGCGCUGUGAGGCGUUGAGCUAACCAAUACUAAUUGCCCGUGAGGCUUGACCAU